rnacentral:misc_RNA from 1 species
UUUCCGUAGGUGAACCUGCGGAAGGAUCAUUGCACACACAAAGUUGCAGCCAACAUUCUCGCGAAUCUUACCAAUUGUCCCCCCUUCACUUGGGCUGGGGGGGCUGGGGCGCUCUCUCACAUCUGCUGUUGGAUCCACUAGGUUGAUCACUAGCUCUGGCUCGGUGUGUUGUGAGUGUCUCGGCCCUUCCAAAUACGCCCAAGUUGUUCCAACCGAUUGCGCAAUGCAUCAACACCUCCAAUAUGACUGAGUAUACCCAAAUCGGGACUCCUUGAUUGGGGUCCUCGAGUUGUAAUAAACAAAAACAACUCUCAGCAACGGAUAUCUUGGCUCUU